rnacentral:rRNA from 1 species
CAGCCGCGGUAAUACAGAGGGUGCGAGCGUUAAUCGGAUUUACUGGGCGUAAAGCGUGCGUAGGCGGCUAAUUGAGUCGGAUGUGAAAUCCCCGAGCUUAACUUGGGAAUUGCAUUCGAUACUGGUUAGCUAGAGUGUGGGAGAGGAUGGUAGAAUUCCAGGUGUAGCGGUGAAAUGCGUAGAGAUCUGGAGGAAUACCGAUGGCGAAGGCAGCCAUCUGGCCUAACACUGACGCUGAGGUACGAAAGCAUGGGGAGCAAACAGGAUUAGAUACCCCAGUAGUCCCUGUCUCUUAUACACU